GUGAGGAAUAUUGGUCAAUGGGCGGGAGCCUGAACCAGCCAAGUCGCGUGAAGGAAGAAGGAUCUAUGGUUCGUAAACUUCUUUUGCAGGGGAAUAAAGUGCAGGACGUGUCCUGUUUUGUAUGUACCCUGAGAAUAAGGAUCGGCUAACUCCGUGCCAGCAGCCGCGGUAAUACGGAGGAUCCGAGCGUUAUCCGGAUUUAUUGGGUUUAAAGGGUGCGUAGGUGGUUUGAUAAGUCAGCGGUGAAAGUUUGCAGCUUAACUGUAAAAAUGCCGUUGAAACUGUCGGACUUGAGUGUAAAUGAGGUAGGCGGAAUGCGUGGUGUAGCGGUGAAAUGCAUAGAUAUCACACAGAACUCCGAUUGCGAAGGCAGCUUACUAAGCUACAACUGACACUGAAGCACGAAAGCGUGGGGAUCAAACAGGAUUAGAUACCCCGGUAGUCC
rnacentral:rRNA from 1 species